rnacentral:lncRNA from 12 species
GGGUUCCAAUGGGCCAGGUUUCCUGCCAGCAUGACAACAAUAUCCAUGCUGGCUCAUGGCAGCUUGAUGGGGCAUCGGGGAGAGAACCACUCGAAUGGGCCGCCCACGACCUCAGCAUGAUUUCCUGAUCUGACACAGGAGAGAAGACUACUAUGUGGCGUGGUUGUGGAUCAUCAUGGCAUGAAUAUAUAAAAACUGCUUCAGAAGUGUGUGAAUGCCAGCACUUGAUGCUACCACUUCUUCCUACUUUGCUGGUCUGCUGAUUCUCAGAAUGGAGGAAAACAAAGUCUUUCACCUGGCAGGCCAUCGCAUUAAUUCCAGGACUUUUAUGGAAAUAUCUUGCCAAAGUAAGAAAAAUGGUUCUUUUAUAUUUGGGUAAAAUGAAUCUGAUAAAAUAGUAAAACAUGGAAUUUUUCCCAAUCCUUGCCAAAUUGUUUGAGCUUUCUAUAACAUACAAAAUUAUUUCACUUUUUGUUUGAACAAAAUAAAAUUCUCAAGAUGGAGAUUUUGCUUGUAGGG